rnacentral:rRNA from 1 species
AGCCAUAAGUAAAUAUAUAUGGUUAUACCUGCCCAAUGUUUAUAAUGAAUGGCCGCGGUACUCUGACCGUGCUAAGGUAGCGUAAUAAUUUGACUUUUAAAUGGAGUCCUGUAUGAAUGGAUAAACCGGGUUUAGCUGUCUCAAAGGCAUUAUAUUGAAUUUACUAUCUAAGUGAAAAAGCUUAGGUAUAAUAAAAGGACGAGAAGACCCUUAAAAUUUUUUCUAGAUCAAUUUUAUAGUUGUUUUCGAUUUUGUUGGGGCGACAAAGAAAUAUUUAAAACUUUCUUUAAAUUUUAUGGGCCGGAAUUUUCAAGGUAGGAUAAAUUACUUAAGGGAUAACAGCAUAAUUCUAAAGUUGAGUUUGUGACCUCGAUGUUGGACUAGGGGGCUAAUAGGUUAGAUGCUUAUUGUGCGGAUUCUGUUCGAAUUAUAACUCCU